UGGGGAAUAUUGGACAAUGGGCGCAAGCCUGAUCCAGCCAUGCCGCGUGAGUGAUGAAGGCCCUAGGGUUGUAAAGCUCUUUCACCGGUGAAGAUAAUGACGGUAACCAGAGAAGAAGCCCCGGCUAACUUCGUGCCAGCAGCCGCGGUAAUACGAAGGGGGCUAGCGUUGUUCGGAAUUACUGGGCGUAAAGCGCACGUGGGCGGGUAUUUAAGUCAGGGGUGAAAUCCCAGAGCUCAACUCUGGAACUGCCUUUGAUACUGGGUACCUAGAGUAUGGAAGAGGUGAGUGGAAUUCCGAGUGUAGAGGUGAAAUUCGUAGAUAUUCGGAGGAACACCAGUGGCGAAGGCGGCUCACUGGUCCAUUACUGACGCUGAGGUGCGAAAGCGUGGGGAGCAAACA
rnacentral:rRNA from 1 species